CGGGAGGCUGCAGCAGUGGGGAAUAUUGCGCAAUGGGGGAAACCCUGACGCAGCAACGCCGCGUGAGUGAUGAAGGCCUUCGGGUCGUAAAGCUCUGUCAGGUGGGAAGAACAAGUCGGUUCCGAAUAAGGGUCGGCUUUGACGGUACCGCCAGAGGAAGCACCGGCUAACUCCGUGCCAGCAGCCGCGGUAAUACGGGGGUGCAAGCGUUGUUCGGAAUUAUUGGGCGGAAAGCGCGUGUAGGCGGCCUGGUAAGUCAGGUGUGAAAGCCCUUGGCUCAACCGAGGAAUGUCAUCUGAAACUGCCGGGCUUGAGUACGGGAGAGGAGAGUGGAAUUCCCGGUGUAGAGGUGAAAUUCGUAGAUAUCGGGAGGAACACCCGUGGCGAAGGCGACUCUCUGGACCGAUACUGACGCUGAGACGCGAAAGCGUGGGGAGCAAACAGGAUUAGAUACCCUAGUAGUC
rnacentral:rRNA from 1 species